rnacentral:rRNA from 1 species
ACGUAGGCACCAAGCGUUGUCCGGAUUUAUUGGGCGUAAAGAGCUCGUAGGCGGUUCAGUAAGUCGGGUGUGAAAACUCUGGGCUCAACCCAGAGACGCCACCCGAUACUGCUGUGACUUGAGUGCGGUAGGGGAGCGGGGAAUUCCUAGUGUAGCGGUGAAAUGCGCAGAUAUUAGGAGGAACACCAGUGGCGAAGGCGCCGCUCUGGGCCGUAACUGACGCUGAGGAGCGAAAGCGUGGGGAGCAAACAGG